UACGUAGGGUGCGAGCGUUGUCCGGAAUUAUUGGGCGUAAAGGGCUCGUAGGCGGUCUGUCGCGUCGGGAGUGAAAACUCGGGGCUUAACUCCGAGCCUGCUUCUGAUACGGGCAGACUAGAGGUAUGCAGGGGAGAAUGGAAUUCCUGGUGUAGCGGUGAAAUGCGCAGAUAUCAGGAGGAACACCCGUGGCGAAGGCGGCUCUCUGGGACGGUACUGACGCUGAGACGCGAAAGCGUGGGUAGCAAACAGG
rnacentral:rRNA from 1 species